UUUCAAAUUGCUUUUUUCAAUAGUAUCUAAAUGAUGUUUUUAUUUAGAAAACAGUUUUGGCCUUCCAAAUUCAAUGCCAAAUAAACACUUAGAAUGAGAAUAUUACAACACUAUUUAUAUUUACCUAAUUCUUAUACACCUAGGAUUCCUACCACAAAUAGGAUUAGGAUUUACAUAAUCACCCUCAAUAAUACAGAAUGGCCUAGAUCAUCAACAUUGCA
rnacentral:misc_RNA from 1 species